AUGACUUUCAUGCAGCAGGAGCUGCAGGCAAGUCUGAAACUACAGAAACGGAACAGAGAACAAGCUGAAAGAAACAAAAACUCCACACAAGGGAAAAACAAAGCAAGGAAAUCUGAAGUUCCAUCUUUGCUACAGGUUGUUAUGACACACCAUGGCCAUCAAGCAUACCAGUCAUCACACAGACCUCCUCAAAAAACAGUUAUGGAAGGAAACGUGGAUCUGUCACCAAAUCUAGAAACAAACAUGACCUUAAGUUUCCUGUUACAGACAACCUAUCAGUCAAGCAGAAGUUGAAACACAACAUAACCUAUAAAAAAAAAAAAAAAAAGAGAAAGAUGUGCAUGACCCAAAUAAAGCCACCUCAGGUGAGUACUGCCUACAUGGAAUCAAGCCAUUUGUCCUGAUGCUAGACAUUGCAAACUGGAUGGAUGUUAAUCUAAGUUAAUCACGCUUGUAUUACUGCCGGGAAUAGACAUUUGCUUUAUUUUUUUCAUACAAACACAUUAGUUUAAUAAGAAUGUACCUUCAAAGUAGAGCUCACACUUACAUUUUAGGUUGGUUUUAAACUGUCACACAGUGGAAAUUUUUAAACUGGAAUUACACCUAUAAUGAUAAACUUUGAGAACUACAUGAAAUGUCUCAGUGGUGUUAUUCAGCACACCUGAAAUUAAUUUUAGAAUAAGGAAUCACAGAAUAUGCAUACAUGCCUUUUAGAAUUGUGGGAUCAAAGGCCAGAGAUAAAGCAUGUCUUCUAAUCUCCCUAUUCCUCCAGGGCGCAGGCAAAGUUUUGCAGGCAUGUUCACAAGGCUUUUAAUGAGCACAGGAUCGAGUCUUUAUUUCAUCCAACUUUGCAAUUGGUGGAGAUAAGACGGGUAAUUUA
rnacentral:lncRNA from 1 species